rnacentral:rRNA from 1 species
AGUGAACGCUGGCGGUAGGCCUAACACAUGCAAGUCGAACGGCAGCACAGUAAGAGCUUGCUCUUACGGGUGGCGAGUGGCGGACGGGUGAGGAAUACAUCGGAAUCUACUUUUUCGUGGGGGAUAACGUAGGGAAACUUACGCUAAUACCGCAUACGACCUACGGGUGAAAGCAGGGGAUCUUCGGACCUUGCGCGAUUGAAUGAGCCGAUGUCGGAUUAGCUAGUUGGCGGGGUAAAGGCCCACCAAGGCGACGAUCCGUAGCUGGUCUGAGAGGAUGAUCAGCAACACUGGAACUUAGACACGGUCCAGACUCCUACGCGAGGCAGCAGUGGGGAAUAUUGGACAAUGGGCGCAAUCCUGAACCAGACAUACCGCGUGGAUAAAGAAGGCCUUCGGGUUUCAAAGCCCUUUUGUUGGGAAAGAAAAGCAGCAGGUUAAUAACCCGCUGUUCGGACGGUACCCAAAGAAUAAGCACCGGCUAACUUCGUG